GCGACUGCCGUCCCACACGAGCCUCCCUGUCACCCAUUCCUCAUCUUCUUUUCAGGAAUUUACAAACAUUUUCCACAGAUCAAUAUCUGUAUUGAUUAUUCAUUGUGAGUGAGUCGUGUGUCUUCGGUGAUCCAGCCUGGCAGAGUAAGCAGCCAAAGGCUGCUGCAGUGAACAAGAAAAAAAGAAAAAGAAAAACCAACACAAAAAAGCAGGAGGCGAGAGGGACCCAGCUCUUGCUGGGCUUGCUGCUGCCGCUUCCAGCAAUCCACUCGCAGAAGCAGAGGCAGGCAGGAAGAGAGGAGGCAGCAGCAGCAGCAGCAGCAGCAGCAGCAGCAAGAAAGAUGGCCAGGUCGCCACAGGCAAGCAGGUGCCGUCCCGGGGCGCCUGGGCAGCCUCGCAGCCCCCCCUGCGCCAUGCCAGGCACUGAUGAAGGGUGGUCCUGCUGCUGCUCCAGGAGUGAGGAGCAUGACUCAUGUGCUGGUCUCGGCUACGCAAGGCACGGGGGGAUUCCUUGACUCCGUGACAGCAAAGGAGGAGCGCCCAAAAGCCACCAGGCACUCUGGAUUUCACCCAACUGCCUCCCUCGGAAUACACAGGCGUCUCAGCUGCCAUGAGCAUCUCACCGCUUCUGAAUGCUUAAAAGGGCCAGCCUCAUUUACGAAGGGUCUUUUUUGAAAAUCUCCUCUGUGUUCAGAAACUCUGAGACACCACCAAGGAUCACUAGCUUGGAACCGACGCAGCAGGUGAGAGGGAGCCAGGGCAGACACGGCAACAUCUGCAAGGUCUACAUGAGGCAGAGAUCAGGCAAUGGGCCAGUUUUGUGCCACCGUCAUGAAAACUGUACCCUCACUCUAAUAAAGAGGAACUUGAUAUCAUGUAAGAAAUGGUUUCCGUGAGCUCUGCUUGCUGUCCCUCCUAGCACUCCUGGUCACGGGUGUGCUCCUUGAAAGUGAAGUGGGCUUCCCUUCUUCAGAGGCCCCAUAAAGCUAUGAUCUUGAAUUUGAAGAAAUUGGACUCCCAUACACAAAGAGUAGCCAGGCUAUCACGGCAGAAGGAGGAAGCGUGUGUGUCCUGUAAACAGGGUACAGCAGCCAUGGAGGUUUCCCAUGAAAUGGGGACGACAGCCACUCGGGAAUCGCCAUGGCGCAAAAACACUGGCCAACGGCAGUGGAAGUUUCCAUCGCCAAGAUUCCAAACGGCUUCUCCAAGGCCCAACAUGUGGCCCUGUCCAGCCCCUACAGGGAGUGAACUUCCCCACCUUCCCUUUGCUCCCUCAAUCUCCUCAUGCAGGCACAGCAUCACCACCUCAUGAGAGCCCAGGCCAUGUCCACCAUACAAGGCAGAAGUGGACGUGGCAGAACCAGCAACUUCCUUCCACCCCUGGGAGAGUCGCGUCCAUUCCCCAGGCUCCAGAGUGUAAGCUACAAGGAAUGCAUGCCGCGGGACUGAGCAGGUGGAUAACAGCAGCAUCCUAGGAGCAGCCGAACAACGAGAGAGUGGCGGGGGGGGUGGGGGGCGCAUGGCUAUGGAAGGCCGCCACAGCCUUCCAAAACAGAAGAUUCCAUGUUGCAAACAAGAGGGGAGUGUGGCUGGAGUGACGAACCCUGGGCACAUGCUCUGAAUGCCAGGCCAGCUGUGCCAGCAUAACCCAACUGUGUGCAGGCCCAAGGUGUCACUCUCCUAGAAGAGCCCUGAAAAAAUGACCCUGAAGGGCAGAGAGAGCGCAGGGCAGAGAGGCUGGGUAACAACAGCAUCCGAGGAACAGCCGGGCAAAGGGGGGGGGAGGGAGAUGGCUAAAGGACUCUCCUAGGGGAAUUGUCCUUCCAAAUUGACAUGCGUCCAAGCCCUCCCUCCCCUGCAGCUGUCCGGCACGUGGGGCUGCCGAGAAGCUUGUCUUGCAGGGCACACUGAAAGCCGUGGCAUCUGCCUUUGUCUAGCUGCAUGCCCACAUACUGUGGCUGCCUGAUGGCAAUUAGCACCAUGCCCUGUGCUAAUUCAAGAGGAAGAGCAUGUCGCUCCCUGCCAAGAAUUACAGCUAAUCACGGAAAGCUCUGGGGUAAGCCUGCUUUGCCUUUCAUUAGGCUUUUGUUUCUAGAGGCAAAGCUGGUGGUCUCCCUUUUGUUAGAAAUCACGGUGGCUUCCCUGGAACAUGCCAGCUCCGUCUCUGACUGCCUCCGGCUCCGUGUGACACCUGUGAGUGAUAGAGAAUCAGCACCCCCUGCUACGUGCACACGCGCUCAGCCGUGGACUCACAGGCUGGCCCAAGAGCAGCAGGGCAUUGCUCCACAGCCCAAAGACGAGGCAGGACUGGCAGCGGCACGAAAGGCCAAGGAACAGGGCACUGGGUCUGGGUUCCUCUGGAUGCAUCCAGACAGCGAGAGCCAGAGUUCUCCGAGCAGCACCUGCUCCCAGGUGAGGGAGAGCACAUCACAGAUGCACUACGGGAGGCCAUGGCCAAGGAAACCACAUGUGCUCUCAGGGUGGCCCGGCCUUGCUACCCAGUGGCCUAUUGGAAGCACAGACCCUCUCUGGCCCAGGGAGCUCCAAGCAGAAGAGUGGCCACUGGAGGGAGGGAGGGAGGGAGGGAGAGCCUCCCACUGUGCCUUGGUGCAGUAGGGGCUCUCCGGGAAGGGUGGCCGAGGGGCCUCUCCACUUGCAGCAGCUCCCUUUGGCCAGCGGAUCUCCCUGUGGAAAGAGCUGGUUGGAUGCACACUGUGCAACACAGAGGCUGCCGUCGGCGCAAGAACACCAGGGUGAGGCUUCUGCGGGAGGGUUCUCCGAAGCAUGUGGAGGUGUGUGAGGCACCGCACCACACUGGCAAUGCAACGAUUCCUGUAAAGAGAGACGUGGCUCUCCUGCAUCUGCUCGGGGCCCGAGAAGGCUAGUGACCUGCACCAAUGUCCAGGUGAUCAUUGUGGGUGACUGAAUCAGGAGACGACAAGGGACGGCACCCUCCAGUUAUAACAAGUGGAGAUAAAUGCAGUUGGUUUGUUUAUUUGCAUAAUGGCCCUUUGGUGUUAAUCAUCAAUGAUAUAAUCCAUAAUGGAUUAAUGAACUAUCAUGCAGCUGGAUUUUGAAAAGGGACACCUAUUCUGUGCUUCACUCUUGCUUGGCACUCAGGAAGGGGAGCCUUGGAGCAGCGCAGCAGCACUCAUGAGUGCUGCGGAAGACACAACCGGGUGGGGGAGGGACGGGGGGGGGGACCAGAGCAUGGAGAUGCUCCUGAGUAAGGCUGCUGCUGUCCCUCCUCCCCUCUGCAAGAAGACUGGGAGGAGACCCAGUGGGGCGGGCAGUGGAGUGUGCCUCAGCCUCUCAGGUUUGGCUGAAUCGUGUCUAUUCCCUGACCCAGCAAAAGCAGUUGGUUCUGCAGCCUGAUUAAAGGAACUGGGCAUUUGAUCUGUAAUUAUUUCUCAAUGGCUGUAUCUUCUCCUGUGUUAUUGCUUUACAUGGCUUGCGUUGUACAAUAUUGAAAAUCAAUAAAAGUACAAACAUGGA